CAGUGGGGAAUUUUCCGCAAUGGGCGAAAGCCUGACGGAGCAAUGCCGCGUGGAGGUGGAAGGCCGUACGGGUCGUCAACUUCUUUCUCGGAGAAGAAACAAUGACGGUAUCUGAGGAAUAAGCAUCGGCUAACUCUGUGCCAG
rnacentral:rRNA from 1 species